rnacentral:rRNA from 1 species
CCUACGGGAGGCAGCAGUGAGGAAUUUUGCGCAAUGGGGGAAACCCUGACGCAGCAACGCCGUGUGAGUGAAGAAGGCCCUCGGGUCGUAAAGCUCUGUCAAGGGGGAAAAAAUCCUUUUGAUGAAUAGUCAUUAAGGACUGAUGGUACCCCUAGAGGAAGCACCGGCUAACUCCGUGCCAGCAGCCGCGGUAAUACGGAGGGUGCAAGCGUUGUUCGGAAUUACUGGGCGUAAAGGGCGUGUAGGCGGUUUGGCAAGUCAGAUGUGAAAGCCCUGGGCUCAACCCAGGAAGUGCGUUUGAAACUGCCAUCCUAGAGUAUGGGAGAGGAGAGUGGAAUUCCCAGUGUAGAGGUGAAAUUCGUAGAUAUUGGGAGGAACACCCGUGGCGAAGGCGACUCUCUGGACCAAUACUGACGCUGAGACGCGAAAGCGUGGGGAGCAAACAGGAUUAGAUACCCUGGUAGUCCACGCCGUAAACGAUGAGAACUAGGUGUAGCGGGUAUUGACCCCUGCUGUGCCGUAGCUAACGCAUUAAGUUCUCCGCCUGGGGAGUACGGUCGCAAGGCUAAAACUCAAAGGAAUUGACGG